ACAGAGACGGCAGGAGGUUGGGUUUCAUUAGGGUUGGGUUUGUUAUUUUGGGGGGCAGGAAGAAGGAACUGUGGGACUGAAGGUGACUGAAAGGGAGUCGUGGCCCUGGAAUCCACCCAGGCAGGAGCUUUAGCCUGAGAGUCAGGUGUAUGCUUUCUGAAGAUCACUGAGGAUGUGGGUGGAUGACAGAUGAUGGAACAGGAAGAAACUCAUCCUCAUCAAUGGGACCAGUUAUGGAGCUGCGUCAAUGGACUCAGCACAGAGCAGAAUGGGCUAAUUGCUUCAGCCUUCACUUCUGAUGCUUUACAAAGUUGAGCUGAAGGCUGCGCCAUCAGAGGCUUGGUAACAGCCGCCUCCCGUCAUGCUGGGUCCAGGGCUGGUGUGGCCCUGGAAUCUCACCGUUCCUUUUGCGGUUUCCCUGGAUUUCGCCCACACCUUGGGAAAUGAAAUGGGAUGUCUACAGUAAACAGCAGAAUAAAUCAGACCACAUCUGUGUUACAAAGAAAACUUCUGUCCCAUUUCUCUGGACCUGGUUAUUCAGUACAAUGAUGGAAAUUACAG
ensembl:lncRNA